GGCCAGCGCAACCUGAAGCGCGCCGGCCUUGGACGCCGGCGGCGGCGCGGAUUACAAUGCCGUCGUGGUCC
rnacentral:tRNA from 1 species